rnacentral:lncRNA from 1 species
UCUUCUCUCCUCAUUCUCUCUCUAUCCCCUCCCUCUCCCGUCUCUUCCUUUCUCUCAUUUUCUCUCCCUCUCUCUCCAUCGCUUUCUUUCUUUCUCUCUCUGUCUCUCAUUUUUUUUCUCUUUUUCUCUUUUUUUCUUUUUCUCUCCCUUUCUCUAUCCCUCUGAACUAGUUUUUUGAUUGGAGAAGCAAACGGGGUGGCGG